AAAGAAAGCAAUACAUGCUUAUUAUAGAAAUUUGGGGGAAUACAAAGGAGAAGAAAAUCAUUCAUCCAGAAUCUCAUCUAACCCAAGAUAAUGACUACUAAGCACCUCGACGACAGGCACACAUGUGCCCAUGUGCUCCCUGGGUAUACACCACAGCCACAGAAGGCACGACCCGUUCAGAAGCCUGAGCACCUGAACAGCAGGCCUGACCAGCAGAUGCCACCUCUCUUCCCACCCCACCCCUGCAGGAAAGGACCACAAGGUUCUGGGAGGCAGCCCAGCUGACAAGGCUGAGUGACGGUGGUCAGUUCAUUGUGCCUCCCUUGCUGGCCCCAAACUCCUCACUCCCACCACGUGAGGUAAUGACCUGUGUGCUUCACCCACGCCGCUCGGCCUGGCCGAGGCCCUAGCAUCCUGGCUGGGGCAUCCAUGGGCCACCUCACCCAGACUUUCUCCCUGCCUGUCUCAUUUCUACCUCUGCAGUUUGACUGCCUCACUGCUGCCAUAACAGUUCCUCAGAUAUUUUUUUAAAUAAAUGAUCUUUUUGCCAUUGUACCCAAAAAACCCCAACCAAAGCAAUGCUUCCAAAAAUAAACCUGAGAGCCAAUCUGGUAAA